CAUUGCCAUCACCUCCGAAAUAGCUAGACCAUCGAAAACGACCUAUUGGAUCAUCCGAAAUAGAGUCCAAUUCAUAUCCGAAGCCAUCCUCUACGCAAUGCCUCAAAAGAAAACACAAGUUACUAUUCAUUUUAAGUGAAAAGUAAUAAUCUUGUAAAAUUUUUAUUUUAAAUCAUUAUUCGUUGAAAAUUGAUAGGAAAAUUUAAAAUUAAAAUACACACGAUAACAUUUAAAGAGAUGUCAAAUUUAUAU
rnacentral:lncRNA from 1 species